UGCACAUGGACCAGGACUGCUUUUAGGGUUCUCUGUUUAAGGAAGCUCCACUCAGUUCUAAAAGCAGGAGUUUCUCAACUUCAGGACACCAGUCUCCCCCAGAUUUACCCCCGGGGGCUGAGGGGCCUGGUGAAUAGAGAUUUCUCUCUUCACUGAAGACAGAGGAAUCAUUCUCUUCCUUAAAAAACUGGAGGGGGAAAGAGUUUUCAGACAAAACAUAAGGUUUUAGCAAUCCAGAAAGGCUUUCUGUAAGCAAGACCCUUGCAAUGGGACUGUCAGCAUGGCUGCAGUAAGAACACUGCAUGGGCCAAAGGGGAAUUAUUUAUGGGAAGCAGUUCCUUCUGAAAAUUGAAAGGCUCAAAUUUACAGGGGUCUGGUAACAAAAAUAACAUGAUUAUCGAAGGUAAGAGAUAUAAGCUCCAAUUUGAUUAGUGCUGUAUGUUGUCUCUUUUGGACCUCUUGUGCCUCCUUGGAAAAGAAGCUUUAAUGUCUGAGUUGUAAA